rnacentral:lncRNA from 1 species
GGCAUCUGCUCACUAUAAAAAGAAGACAGGAGCUUUCUAAGGAAAAAUCUGUGGACGCUGCUCCAACUAGGCGCUGUGUCAACAUCCCCCGUGACCGAAGCUGCAUGUGGGCCAGGCCUGGGCUGUGCCUGGGGAAGGGUGUGUCCAGUGCUGCCCCCGCCAACAGUGCAGGGCCCUCAUCCACACAAGGAAAGACGGGACAAACCC